rnacentral:rRNA from 1 species
AGAGUUUGAUCCUGGCUCAGGAUGAACGCUGGCGGCGUGCCUAAUACAUGCAAGUCGAGCGAAUGGAUUAAGAGCUUGCUCUUAUGAAGUUAGCGGCGGACGGGUGAGUAACACGUGGGUAACCUGCCCAUAAGACUGGGAUAACUCCGGGAAACCGGGGCUAAUACCGGAUAACAUUUUGAACUGCAUGGUUCGAAAUUGAAAGGCGGCUUCGGCUGUCACUUAUGGAUGGACCCGCGUCGCAUUAGCUAGUUGGUGAGGUAACGGCUCACCAAGGCAACGAUGCGUAGCCGGCCUGAGAGGGUGAUCGGCCACACUGGGACUGAGACACGGCCCAGACUCCUACGGGAGGCAGCAGUAGGGAAUCUUCCGCAAUGGACGAAAGUCUGACGGAGCAACGCCGCGUGAGUGAUGAAGGCUUUCGGGUCGUAAAACUCUGUUGUUAGGGAAGAACAAGUGCUAGUUGAAUAAGCUGGCACCUUGACGGUACCUAACCAGAAAGCCACGGCUAACUACGUGCCAGCAGCCGCGGUAAU